rnacentral:rRNA from 1 species
CGGACGGGUGAGUAACGCGUGGAUAACCUGCCGUAUACCGGGGGAUAACACUUAGAAAUAGGUGCUAAUACCGCAUAAGCGCACAGCUUCGCAUGAAGCAGUGUGAAAAACUCCGGUGGUAUACGAUGGAUCCGCGUCUGAUUAGCUGGUUGGCGGGGUAACAGCCCACCAAGGCGACGAUCAGUAGCCGGCCUGAGAGGGUGAACGGCCACAUUGGGACUGAGACACGGCCCAAACUCCUACGGAAGGCAGCAG